AAGGAAUCUUCCACAAUGGGGGCAACCCUGAUGGAGCGACACCGCGUGAAGGAUGAAGGCCCUCGGGUCGUAAACUUCUUUUAUAAGUGAGGAAUAUGACGGUAACUUAUGAAUAAGGGUCGGCUAACUACGUGCCAGCAGCCGCGGUCAUACGUAGGACCCAAGCGUUAUCCGGAGUGACUGGGCGUAAAGAGUUGCGUAGGCGGUUAGUAAAGCGAAUAGUGAAAUCUGGUGGCUCAACCAUCAACACAUUGUUCGAACUCACUAACCCGAGAGUGGUAGAGGUAGCUGGAAUUUCUUGUGUAGGAGUGAAAUCCGUAGAUAUAAGAAGGAACACCAAUGGCGUAGGCAGGCUACUGGACCAUUUCUGACGCUGAGGCACGAAAGCGUGGGGAGCGAA
rnacentral:rRNA from 1 species